AUGAAUUUUAGGACGUUCUUUUUAGAAGUCCGACCAUUUCAUUUUCUUACACUGUGCACACACUUCUUUUUACACACACUUUUAACACAUUAGUAUAAGAAUGUAAUAGUCUCUUAAUUGAGCAUAAACAAAAAU
rnacentral:misc_RNA from 1 species